rnacentral:rRNA from 1 species
UACGUAGGGUGCGAGCGUUAAUCGGAAUUACUGGGCGUAAAAGCGUGCGCAGGCGGCGCGUUAAGACAGGUGUGAAAGCCCCCGAGCUUAACUUGGGAAUUGCGCUUGUGACUGGCGUGCUGGAGUGUGGCAGAGGGAGGUGGAAUUCCACGUGUAGCAGUGAAAUGCGUAGAGAUGUGGAGGAACACCGAUGGCGAAGGCAGCCUCCUGGGCCAGCACUGACGCUCAUGCACGAAAGCGUGGGGAGCAAACAGG